rnacentral:misc_RNA from 1 species
AAGACUAUAGACCUGCGGAGUACCUGCGGAAGGAUCAUUAGUGAACGCCCUCACGGGCUUAUAACUAUUCCAAACCUCUGUGAACCGUGCCCUUCGGGGCUAUUUUACAAACAUGGUGUAAUGAACGUCAUAUAUCAUAACAAAACAAAACUUUUAGCAACGGAUCUCU